GGCUGCACCCCAGAGAGGGUCAGGAGCCUUUUCAAAGUCUUCUGCUCACUGUAGCUCAGCAAGCCCUGAGCCCCGUGGCCUGGGAUUGUCUGAGAGCAGAAGAAGAUUCUGGGAAACUUGGCUGGCCUUCUAUGUAAUUCUCACGGACAUCCAUUGUUGUCGUAGGGACCCCGUCACUCCCCAGCCCAGCCCACUCCUAGCCCCUCAGCCCCUGACAGAAGGAUCUGCUAGGCGCAUUGUGUUUCUCUUGGACUUCAGGGGACAAUAUUCUCCAUUUUGUAAACUGUACAUAACAGGUCGACCUGUCCUGCUCACCCAACAGGGACAAGCAUUAAUGGAAUCUGCAUUGUUUAUUACUUUUAAAAAUUAUAGUUCAGGUAUUUGGUAAGUUUGUAUUUGUAGGAUAAAGAGAGAGAUGCUUAAAAGCUCAGAUCUUGAAAACAAAAAGGCAAAGAACUCUGGGUACUUUCGUUUCAAUUGCCCAAGAUCCCUUUCCAGCCCCUGAUUCCAUAGAUUUUCCUAAUUUGCAGGAUUGUUUUAGCUCACAGACCCAGGAUCCUCGUAUCUCCUGGAGCCUCACAUGCUCGGUUAUGCUUGGCUGUUUGUCUUCAUUUUAGAUAAUCAAGAAUAGCUGUCAAAUUGAGUAGUGAGGGUGGUAGAAUAUUCCAUUCUCAGCAAGAUAUAUUUAGAAGGCUCUACCACUGAAAGCAACAGCAGGGACUUCCCUUGUGGCACAGUGGUUAAGAAUCCGCCUGCCAAUGCAGGGAACAUGGAUUCGAUCCCUGCUCUGGGAAGAUCCCACAUACCGCAGAGCAGCUAAGCCCGUGCUCCACAACUACUGAGCCUGCACCCUAGAGCCCACGAGACACAACUACUGAGCCUGUGUACCACAACUACUGAAGCCUACGCACUCUGGGGCCUGCGUGCUGCGACUACUGAGCUCGCGUGCUGUAACUACGGAAGUUUGCGCACCUAGAGCCUGUGCUCUGCAACAAGAGAAGCCACCGCUGGGCAAAACUGAAAUCUGUAAGGAAGGUCAUUAAAAAGGGCAGGUGGAAUUCAGGGGCAUGGAUGGACGCUACUCUGUCUACAGGUAGAAUUUCUUCUUCCCCAGGAAGCCUCAGCUCUGCAUUUGAGGCUUUUCGAGCAAUUGACUCAGGCCCACCCAGAUUAUCUAGGAUAAUCUAUCAUACUUAAAGUCCACUGAUUAUGGACUUUAAUCACAUCUAUAAAAUGUCUUCACUGCAACACCUAGGUUAGUGUUUGAUUGAAUAAGUGGAGACUAUAAUUCAAGCUGACAGGUAAAAAAGUAAUCACAACAGAGUGUGCCUGUUGGCCUCAGUCUAAGACAUGUCCAUGGAGUCCUCCUGAGAAGUCUGGACCAGUAGGUGAGGUAGCAGCUGGGGCAUCUGAGGGAUGUGUCCUCCUGCGAUGGGUGAAUAGAGGGGCCCAGCACAGAUUACCCAGCACCACCCCGGCUAUGCACCAGAUGGGACUUUACACCAUGGGACCCCAGGAUGUCCAGAGCAUCAGAGCUGGGUGAGCCUUUAGACACUCUUAGUCAAACUCUCAUUGUCCACUGAGAGAACUGGGGCCCAUAUCAGUGAAACAGCCAAGACCAGCGCGAAGAAGAACCAAGAUCUCCGGCAAGAAUGGGGAAAGGAAUUAGAAGACUGAGAGGAUGGAGAAGCAAGG